UACGUAGGGGGCAAGCGUUGUCCGGAUUUACUGGGCGUAAAGAGCGUGUAGGCGGCCAAACAGGUCCGAUGUGAAAACUGGAGGCUCAACCUCCAGACGGCGACGGAAACCGUGUGGCUAGAGUCCGGAAGAGGAGAGUGGAAUUCCUGGUGUAGCGGUGAAAUGCGCAGAUAUCAGGAAGAACACCUAUGGCGAAGGCAGCUCGCUGGGACGGUACUGACGCUGAGACGCGAAAGCGUGGGGAGCGAACAGG
rnacentral:rRNA from 1 species